AAAGAGAGAAGAAGAAUACGCAGGCAUUAGCCUUACCUCCACUGUGCUCUUUAUAUCAAGUAUGUUAGAAUAUGUCUGGGUAGCACUCAACAAUUGACGGUCACACUGUUAAAAAUGCUGCAAAAUAUGAUCAUCUGUGAACAUGUCAAUAUCAAACUGCAUCAAUCACAAAGUGCUGGAGAAUAUACACAGAAAAAACGACAACAGAAAACAUCUCCAAUGCAGCUCCACACAAACUCAACCACACACAAGACAACAGCCCCUGCAUCCAGCAGUGUAAGCCACACCCCGACACACUGACAUCAUCCUCUAAAGUGACUGCCGAUUGGCUGUCCGCCGCUCUGAAAGCGGGUUUUGUUUGGUUUUGACAGGCCAGUGUCUGGCUGAAGGAUUUAAUCCUUUAUGCCCCACUGGGACUGUGCAGCAGAGGCAUCUUUACAGACCUUUUUCUGAAUAUAAAGCCUGUUGUUACUUUCUUUAUCAGCGCAGAAUUCAGUUCCAUGUGCACAGUAAAGCAGGGGGCCCCGGCCAAUCACGUGGAACAGCACUUCACAAUGAAUGCGACACCAGCCACCACCACAAUGCUACAUCAAAACUGAUGGGACUGUAAUGACAUUUCCUUAGACACUUACGUAAAAAUAAAUAAAUAAAUAAAUAAAAUGAAUAAAAAAAUCUGUUAGAAAAGGCCACCUUUAACUGUUUUUCCCAUUAUGCAUGGAGAUCUAAUCUGUAAUUAGUGUUCAUAGUGUUAAAAAGUCACACAUAACACAUAGGAGCACCAUGCAAGCACAAUCUGAACAAUCUUAAAUUGUUAAAACGCUAACAUUUGCAAAUCAUCUCUAAAUGCAUAGUGCAACUGAAGAUCAUGAGUUAAUACCUUUCAUUAUUUGCUUUUUUUUUGUUGCAGAUAAAUUUGCUGCUGGGAUCUUACUCUCCUGCCGCUGUGCUACAAAGGUAACCAUUGUGACAGUUUUGUAGGUUUUUAAUUCCACAUCAUGAUAGAUAUUCUACAGAAGCUGUACCCUUACUGUUGAUAGUUUAAACACGCAGCGCCCUGAACACAUGAUUGUGCUUUAAACUCUUGCUCAAGGGCACUGAGACCACGGAAAGCUUAAACUUGUGACCUCCAAGAUGUAUCACAGUCAUUAUAAGCGAACAGAUGUGUCACAUUAGCUGCACGUCUCAGCUCCAGUUGUUCCCACGUAUGACUUAUUAUAUGCUCAUCUGAUGAAAUGUUCUCUUCAUUCAUAAGCCCGUACGUGCGUCUACGCCCAUCGUUCACUCCAAUUCUUUGCUCGGUGAUACAUAAAGUAGCAGUCAGUUUUCCUCUGACUGCGAAACGGGAGGGAGUGGAGGGCAAAGAGCGAUCUGUGAUGCAAUCUCCAGUUUCCAUGGCGACUGUAAAAUCUGCUUCGUUUGUGAGAGCCUUACUAUCUCUGCUGGAGAGACUGGCCACAAGCUGCUCAUGGCGAGGAUGCUGACAUGGCUGAUGAUACGGUGAAAGCUGCAGCACAGCGGGGGGAUAAGUGAAAACAGCUAAACCGCAAAGCGACCUUUUCACUUCUGUCUCUUGGUUGCGAGCUGCACGAAGGGUCUGAGGACGGUGACUAGUCUGCCUGCUUAGUUUAAUGAACACAACGAGGUCGGUCAGAAGUUUGUUGAAGAUAUUUGUGGUCGUCAGAUACCAGAAAACAGCGCACAUACCGGUGAUGCCAAGAUGUUGAAAUAUCUGAGUCAUAUCUACUGCCAUUAAAUUUGGUACUGACAGCACCGCCACACAAGACUGACACUUUAGUACAGAUUAUCAGCUCACCAUGAGAAGAUAUUCAACUGACACUGAACUCAUUCAUUUCUUGCCAAUAUAGCGUCAAAAUUUCAAUUAAUUUUACUCAUAGUUUUACCACAAUCUAAUGAUUCAGAUUUUGGUUAAACUACACUAAAUCCCAAAAAAGGACAUAUUAUCAUAAAAUAUACAAAAAAAUCCAGACCCCUGUGAGCAAACAUUGGUAUUUCUAUUAGUAACUGCUCAGAACUCAGUGGUAAUGAACAAAGCCUCGACAUGGCCACCAGCAGAGCAGCAGAGGUCUGAGCUUGUUCACUAAGGAGUGUUGCUACAGAAGGUGCUGUAAAAAUUACAACUGUCAUAAAUGAAAUGACCUUUGUACUGGAAGAGUUCGAAAGCAAGCACACAAUAAAAUGAAUUCCAUUGCAUAACGAUCCCUAGUUACAAGAACAGAAGACAAACCGGCAGCAACAGACCAACCGCCCCACACCAAUCCUUCCUGAAGCGAACCUUCAGCACUCUCUGCCUCAGCCCAUAAAAUUACAAUUAGCGUAAUCGAGUAUCUGACCUACAGUGGAUGCAACUUGUCAGAGUGGGUCAGGGCUGGAGCGACAUAGAGGUCAGAAAAACAAGGCCUAAACAACCCAUCUGUACAAACAUGGCUGCCUUUGUUUGAGAAGGCUGCAGGGCAAGCAGAAAGCCCUGACGGAAGCUGUGGUGAGGGAAUGACAAUAGCGCUCUGUCUACCCAUAAAGCUCAUCAAUCGCGCCUGCUCUCUCGUGACUCACCCUUACACAAGGCAGUCAAACUUCCAAACAACCGAGUGUUAAUACAAACAAAGGCCAAGCAGGACAAUCAAUAACUUCCUCUUUGACAGCUCUCUGCUGUUAAUAUCACAGCAAGUGCUGCAGGGAUGAGAGUGUUUGACCUCUCAUCUCAAUGCUGCCGCCUUAUAUUUCCAUUCUACAUAUCCCAUGCUUCCUUUCCUGUCUUUUUUGCUCAUUUUUUUUUUUUUUUUUGCUCCCCUGCAGACAUUAUCUCAAGCAGCCGUGCACUACAUGGUGUCACUGGCGGUGUUACUAGGGUUACUACUAGCCAAUUUAGCCAAAAAGAUCUUGGUGCGAAGUAGAGGGGGAAGAAAGGCAGCAUGUCUGUAUGUGGCUGAGUAAUGAUGCAUCAAGUGGCCCUUUGUUUUUCUGUGAUUACAGCUAAUCUUUGAAUCCAAAUGUAAGGCAAAUAGAGGAGCCUAAUUAGACUACUGGACUGAGCGAGGCAAAACACUAGUUAAUGUAACUAGUCUGUUAGUACACAGUACACUGUGUCUGAAAGUGAAAAUUUGGUCGAAAUUAGCCCUUUUUCAUACUAACGCAUGAACCUGUCAAACGUGACUAUGAGACUUAUUGAAAAGAUACAGUGAGUAUGAAGCUGCCGUCUUCAGCCCACAUAUUUUCCUGCUUAGCUGCUGUUGUCAGAAGCAGAUGUGUUCUCCAUGAAAUGUUGACUAAUGGCAUUACAAACAAUGACAAUGCUGAGAUGAUUGUGCAACUGCAUUGCUAGUGCAUGGUGAAAGACUGUCAGGGGCGCUGGCUGUUUCACACCUGAAUAUUUAUAGGGCUGGCCCAUCUUCUAGGAACCCAGAUGUUGAAAAGUUUUCAUAUUUUAUGCAGGGUGGAAAAAAACAAAAGAAUUUUGUACAUUUCUGCAUAAAACUGACUAAAAGUGAAAGGGAACACAUUCGGAGAAAUGAAAAAAGAAUAUUGUGAAUUUGUUUGGAGGUGCAAAGGUAAGUGCACAUCUAGGAAUACAGGUUCAUUUCAAGGCCAAAUUAGAGUCCAUCUGUUUGUUAGUGUUUGCAACAAAUGUAAAAUGAAAUCAGGGAUUUGUCAUGGUCUGAUCUUCACAAAACAUGUUUGUGUAAGUAUAUGAUCACACAGAAAGAAGAGCUUUCUGAGGACAUCAAAAAAAGAGAUGUUGCUAAUUGUCAGGUUGGAAAAGGUUAAAAAACCAUCUGUGAAGAGUUUUCCAUGCAGAAAUACACACUCAGAUUGUGAACAAAUGGAGAUUUAAAUGGAGACCAUUUCCCUCCACAAGAGUUGUCGACUAGCGAAGAUCCUUCCAAGAAGUCACAAAGGACCCCAUGGUAACUUCUAAGCCUCUGUUGUAUUGACUAACAUAAUGUUCAUGAAUCCACCAUCAGGAGAACACUGAACAACCAUGGUGUACAUGGCAAAAACAAAGCUGCUGCUCUCGAAAAAAAAACAUUUCUGAACUUCUAGAGUUUGCUAAACAUCGUGUGGACAAGCCAGAAGACUAAUGGGAAAAUGUUUUGUGGAUGGAUGAAACCGAAGUCGAAUUAUUUGGCUUAAAUGAUAGACGUCAUGCUUCGAGGCAAAAAACAAUGCAUUCCAGCAUCAGAACCUCAUCCAAUCCACGAAACGUGGGGUGGUGAUGUCCUUAUUUGGGCCUGUUUUUCUGCAUCUGUGCGAAGAAAACAUCAGAUCAUCUGUCCGUUAGUAGAAUCUUAAGAGGAACUGAGUCAUACAGCAAGACAGCAACCCCAAGCACACAAGCCAUUCUACAAUAGGAUGGAUAAAGAACAAGAUGAAUGUUUUGGAACGCCCAAGUAAAAGUCUCAGCUUUAAUCCAAAAGAAAUGUUGUGGAAUGACCUAAAGCAAACAGUGCAUGUGAGGAAACCCAACAACAUCUCAGAGGUUCUGUACUGAGGAAUGGGCUAAAACUCCUCAAAGCGUCUACAGACCACGUACUGAAAACAACAGUUCACUUGGCAACAUUUGGCAGCUCUCAGAUAUGUAUUAAUGAUACAUUUUCUCAAAUAAGUGAAUACAGAUGCAAAACACUUUAUACAUCCUGUGUGGUCGCCAGAAAUGAAAUCUCUAACAAAUAACCACCAUCAAGGAAAUAGACAUUUCAAAGUUUGUCAUGGAAAAACAAAAACGUCCACAUAUUAAAUUUGCAGUAAAGCCGGAAGUUUGUCAAAAACCCUCUCGAGGAGGCAGAGCAGUGCCUUUGUUGGUCUCCGUGUCCUUGCUGACCAUGCUGUUCUUACCUAAAAGGCACUACUGCGUAAAUGUACCUGUCUUGCUGAUUGAUAUCGACACAGGAUAGUUUCUGUAAUAAUAAUAAGUAAUAUAUCUAUACAUGAUGGAUAUGAGCAGAAACCGCGACCACAUUUUAUUCUGUCCUCAUCUUAUUUGUGUACCUGUGUCUACGAUCUCAUCUGAAUACAGAUAUACAGGAUUUUCAGCUGGAGCUGAACAAAGGAGGCAUUAAACUGCCUUCUGGUGUCAAAGUCUGCACAUAUACACAAAACAUAAGUCAGAGUGUUGACGUUCAAACAUCCAACAGAAGUAACAAUAACCUAGAGCACUGUUUCCAGGCGUGGGGGGUCACACAGAAGCAGCCAGUGAGGUGGGGGGGUGUGCUGCUUCAAGCAGAUGACGAAAUAUGAUCCUUGAAGUCUAGUUUGCGUAACAGGUUAAUGGGUUUGAGGGGUUAUCAGACCAAAAGAGGAGGAUUUUACAACACUGAAAAAUGCUCACAGAUGUUCAGUCCCAGUGACAAUGGCUCCCUUCAGCCAUUCAGCGAGGUCUGACUUUUCCCAGAUGACUAAGCCUUUUAUUGCCAGCACACCCGUGGGUGUGGUUAAUGGAGUGCCUGUGUUAACGGUCAGUCAGCAGCUGUAUUACCUGUAGAUUUUUUUUUUUUUUUUUUUGUUGAAACACACCGAUAUGUUGACAAAGGCAAAGAGGUUAGCUGCUAAAAAAUGUAAGAUGAUAGCUUUUUUGACUGGUAAUGUAACUUAAGUAAGUGGAUUUUAAUAUAUAGGAUUGUGAUCAGGGAUCCCAAAAACUCCCAUGUUCAAUAAUUAGUUAGUAAUUUGGUAGAAAAGCCAUGUUUGACAUAAUACUGAAAACAGUAACAGUGGAUAUAUGUCUAUACGUUUUCAUAGAUGCUAUUUAAAGAAUCCAGAAUGAAUACUAAUUUUUAUACUUCCUGUCUUUUGAAUUACAGUACAACUGCAGAGCUGGAUACAUGUGUCCAUGAGAGGCCUUAAAAUACGGCAAGCAUUAUGUUCCUGCACCCAGUAACGAUGAGGAAGCACAAGGAACAGUCAACGUGAAGAUAAUGAGGUGGGCAUUGUUUCUUGUUUUUAGAUGGCAAGAGCUUGUUUGGCUGCUUACACCAUCAUCAUUUCCUCCCUUGGUUUCCAUGCCGGAACUUCUUUCUGCAUCUCCAAACUGGCGACGUACCAGCCUCCAUCUACUGUAGGUAACACAUUGACUAUGAUAAGCACGUUGUAAAAGUCUACUUAAGAGAAACAAAACUGUCCCUUUAAGGCGGCUCCCUGAUCUGAUUAUUUUACUUUUAGAAUUGCAUUCAAACAAACUGGGCCCUGCUAAUGACUCUCUGCUUGGAUAGUUUGGCUGGAUUUACAAAUACUAGACAGACUAAAAGCCUGUUCUUUAAUUCCUAGCUCCACUUUGUCUCCCGGUUAAUGAAAAAUAUGUCUUGCUGGUCCUGGAUCCUCAGCCUGAAGCCUUCCAAUCCUCCCGACAACGGGUGCGGCGUCGUGUCCUGCCAUCAAGGCUUAUUUGGAUCCGUUGCCACCGGGGCGGUUGCCAUGUCUGCAGUGGCAAGGGAUUCCCCUCAAAUGAUGGGCGAGGCAGCAGACACACCCCGCUGCCCAGUGCUGCAGAGAGACUAGCUGGGUGAGGGGCAGCUCGCUCUCUCUGACUCGGCACAAAUGAGAAGGGGUGGAGCCGGGCCCCCUCUGGUAUUACCACUACAGGCCGGUCCUAGAGAGCAGCGCACAGCGUGGCCUUAAAACACUCUGACAGCCUACUUAUUGACUCCUGGAGCUGAUGUAGAAGAAGUAGCUACUUCCUCUGCUAUUAAAUGGAGUGACCUUGUUAAUAAAAAAAAAAGUAGACAUUCUAUAACAUGCUAAUGAUCAUGAGAAUUAUAGAUGUAUGACACCAAAGCUACUAAUCUUUGAAAAUACUCGUAAAGAGAAAGUAAAGGCUGCUAUAAAACCUUUUAACGUUCCUUAAGAAGCCUCUAUUUCUGAGGAACAACACUGUUCAAGGCUUCACAAUGACACUGUGGCCAUUAUUUUUUUCAAUAAAGGAGCCCAGGCAUUGUCAUACAGCACAGCAAACUGCCCACUCCUCCUGCUCUCACUGUCCAGACUGUCAUGACACAGUGAGAUGCAGCCUUUGUGAGGCUGUGAGAAAUCACUGCCUAUGAAAUGGUGCACUACGGGUGGGCCUGUGCUGCAUCUUGGCAGAUGCUGCGGCACGCCUCUGUGUGGGAACCUGCUGGAGGAGGUCGAGGACGCAGGGAUGCGGCUGCUACACGGCAUCGAUUAACACAGGCGCUCCGUCAUGCUCACGGCUGUGCUGAUAAGAACGGGCCGUUUGCUGCAAUAUGACAUCUCCGGGGAUGAUUCUGGAAAGCUGUCCGUCCAGCUACACCCACGUCUGGAAGGUGAACGCUUCGCAUUUUGUGCGCCGCUUCUGCGCAAAUCGAUUGCGAUCAACCUUCAGCCAACAUUGCUCCUUUUUUUUUUUUUUUUUUUUUUUUGUCUUUACCCAAUGCGCCAAACGUGCAGCAGUAAGAGACGGCGCGUCAACCUAAAGGUUUCUCCGCGUCAACCUAAAGAAAAGUGGCAAAUCACAGUAAAUCGACGGCUCAUUAUUUCGUGUGCUCCGGAAACCCGACCAUCAGCACAGCCCCUACCAUGUCACUCUCAUCACGGUACCAACCUAGCCCGUCCUCUGCUCCCGCAAGUAAUGCGCAU